ensembl:lincRNA
GCAGGGCCUCCCCGGGGCCUCCAAGCCCGGCCCAGGGGAGCUCUGGGAGGAAGUUUUCCCCAGGACCCUGCCUCUCUUCCCCCACCUGCAGGGCCUCCCCAGGGCCUCCAGGCCUGGCCCAGGGGAGCUCUGGGAGGAAGUUUUCCCCAGGACCCUGCCUCUCUUGCCCCACUGGAGCCUGGCUGUUUGUCCUGGGGAGGACAUUGAGCUUCCGCAGCCUGGAUCCAACCCCAGCUCCGCCCUGGGCCCCAUACACACUGCAGGGUCUAGUGCCUCUGAAUCCAUCUGCAGUGGCUGGAACCCCAUUCUCCAAAUGUUCACCCCAGCAUUCUGAGGCCAGGACUGGGCUGCUUUACACUUCAGAAAGGCAUGUCGGGGCUGGGAGAAAGCAGACCUGCCAUCUGGAAAAGCUGCCCCAGGCCUGUCCCCACCUGAAGCCACGGUGCGCUGCAUGCACCUCAGCCUUGCAUCUUGCAGCGUGUCUACAAUCUUCAUUCCCAACAACCUUCCUUCCUGAGCCUGGUAAUCCCCGCCCUCUUCUGUAGCACCAGGUACCCUAGCAGAGCCCCUGUGUCCCGUGUCUGUCCAGUGCCUGCAAAAAGAGAACCAUGGGACAAAACCCCCAUUGCACAGAUGAGGAGGCCAGCCAGAGAAGGGAGCAUUGACCUGGGUCACCCGAGAGUCGAUGGCAGCCCUUCCCACCUGCAUUGUGUGGUGUUUUGAUCUCCUGGAGGGCAGCUUACAAUCCCAGACUCUCCAAGCGACAGAGAGGGCCCGUUCUGUCCAAGUCCACAUGCCACCCAAUUUACAGAUGAGGAUGCUGAGGUCUGGAAAGAUGAGGUGACUUUCCAGAUGGCUCAAAGAGGAGCAAUGGAGUGACUGGGGAGGAAUGAUCGGUUAAUCAAGAGGUAAGACUUUUCCACGCUGGUCUCACAUCAUACAUGAAUUUAAUUUAACUGAGUUAAAGUCUACUUAACUAAACACAUUUGCCCCUCACACCCCAAAGGGGAGAUGAAGGUGUCUGUUCCAAGCCAAGCCCUCCCGUCGGGUCCCACAUGUCUCUGAGGAGGAGCACCUGGUUCCUCCCUCUGCCUGUGAGUGUCCCACCCCUCUGUGUGACCCCUAAACACAAACCUUUACUGUAUCUGGAGCUUGACAGGAGAAACAGCGAUCUGUCCUAAUGCAGGAGGAAAAGCUGGCUGUGCUGAAUUUAUUGAGAAAUGGUGGUUGGCUCCAACAUGACGGCUUCCCAAGGAAUUUUCAAGGGCAUUUUGAUUCUCAGUGAUUUUCCCCUUACACACCUGUCCUCUGCAUAAGGUGCAAUCCCACUGGCUCUCCAGCAACUAGAAAAGAAACAAGAGACCUGACAUUUUUAAAUCUUUUUACCAAAGUAUAAACCACAUGCACAAAAAUGCACAUAUUUUAAG